AGCAGCCGCGGUAAUUCCAGCUCCAAUAGCGUAUAUUAAAGUUGUUGCAGUUAAAAAGCUCGUAGUUGAAUUUCGGGAUCAAUAUGUUGGUCGUGCCUCGGUACGUACUAGCAUAUUGGUUUCUCCUUUCUGAAGAACCAUGAUGUCAUUCAUUUGGUGUCGUGGGGAAUCAGGACUGUUACUUUGAAAAAAUUAGAGUGUUUAAAGCAGGCUCACGCUUGAAUACAUUAGCAUGGAAUAAUGAAAUAGGACGUUUGAUUCUAUUUUGUUGGUUUCUAGGAUCGACGUAAUGAUUAAUAGGGAUAGUUGGGGGCAUUAGUAUUCAAUUGUCAGAGGUGAAAUUCUUGGAUUUAUUGAAGACUAACUACUGCGAAAGCAUUUGCCAAGGAUGUUUUCAUUAAUCAAGAACGAAAGUUAGGGGAUCGAAGACGAUCAGAUACCGUCGUAGUCUUAACCAUAAACUAUGCCGACUAGGGAUCGGAUGAUGUUAAUUUUUUAAUGACUCAUUCGGCGCCUUACG
rnacentral:rRNA from 2 species